CACGUAAGGGGCGAGCGGUGUUCGGCAUUAUUGGGCGUAAAGGGCGCGUAGGCGGUCCUGUAAGCCCGGCGUGAAAACCUGGAGCUCAACUCCGGGCCUGCGCUGGGAACUGCGGGACUAGAGUCAUGGAAGGGAAGUUGGAAUUCCAGGUGUAGGGGUGAAAUCUGUAGAUAUCUGGAAGAACACCGGUGGCGAAGGCGAACUUCUGGCCAAUGACUGACGCUGAGGCGCGAAAGUGCGUGGAGCAAACAGG
rnacentral:rRNA from 1 species